rnacentral:lncRNA from 1 species
CAUGCGGCCGCCAACUCAACCUCGAGAGAGCUGAUCUUGGAAGCCUAAGUCCAAGAUCGGUCACUGGCGCAUUUCUGGAGUUCCUUAAGCUCCUUCAUGAAGUCGGUCUUCUUCUGGGUGUAGUCCAUGAAGCCCUUUUUGUGGAGGUCCCGAAGGUGAGUAACCUUCGCGGUGGCCUCCGAAUGGCUCUUCCUCAGCCUGUGAAGUUCGUCAUCCAUCUUCUUUGAUUUCUUAGUUAGGUGACGAACUUUCCUUCUGAGAUCCCGGAUCAUCGACUUCAGAGGAAUCCCCUGU